UGUGGAGCCAACUCACGGAAUCGUCCAUGAAGCCUGCAGAGAUCAGAGAGGACCGUAAGCUGUCAGCACCAAACCUCCUCAGACCACCACCAGAGAAGGAAGCAUCUCCUCCACCGGUUGCUGGAGCCAAUCCCAGCGCAGGAUAAAGUGAUCAGAGACGCUGAGGUCCAGACUCACGUCUGAAAGAGCCUUCAGAUUCCCCCUCAGACCUGUCGAGCAGGUGUUUGGACUUUGGAGGACUUUGGACUUUUGGACCCUGCUGGGAUUUGAACCAGCAACUUGCACCAUGCAGGCCUCCUGCACAGUCAUUGGAGGCCAGCAUUAAACCUAUGAGUGGUCGUGUUAAACCCACAGACUUUAUCAUUAUUGUCACGCUCAGCGUCAUGAUAACCUUUAAAAGCAAUGAUGUCACUAUUACGCUCCACGUGACGCCGCUAAAAGUUGGAAGAAAAAGUUUCUGAACUGGCUGACAGCGCCCUCUGAGGGUCAGAACGGAAACUACAGGCGAACAGAAAGUGAUUUUCCAGAUCACAUGAUUUCUGCCUUUCUUCAUAUGUUUCCAUGGUGAUGACGGUGAAGAGACUGACCUCAGAAUUUCCUUUCGGGUGAAGUAGGUGCAGUCCUGUGUACAAAGAAACAAACAAACAAACA